GAUGGUGUCCACCACCCACUCCACGUCGUCCUCCUCUUCGGCCGCCAUGGCCAGCGGCGCGGCCGCUAUGGCAACCGGCGUCACGGGGUAACAAUUCUAUGCUCUCAGAACUGCAGAGAAGUACCUGAUCAUCAUUUAAAUAAGAAUCUGCACUGGAAAAACUUCAGAUUUUCCUUUUGCAGGCCACUUUUUUCACCAUCAGCGCUUCGAUUUCUGUAGCUGGUUUUGUGGUCGGAGAGCUUCAGCAAUAUGGCAGGAUAUUCACUUCCUAUUUGUUGCAUAAAAAGUUAAAGCAUUUCAUUACAGUUACAAGAAAAAUUGCUGCAGCAAUGAGUAUGAGGAAAUUCUGUCCUCUGCAAUCAAAUCCAUUUUAUCACCUCACAGGAAACCGCUGAUGUGAUCAUAUUCUGUCCAUAGAUGUCAGGGGAAACACUGGAGUUGGUGGUUUAGUUGUUAACAAUACAAAAGAUGGAGCAGGAAAUGCUCCCUUAGCUGAGUCACAAAAAGCAUUUAUUGCUUGAUUUUCUGUCUGCUCUGAGCAAGUUGCUACUUCAGACAUUUUGACAUACAUACAAAUAUAUAUAUAUAUAUAUACACUCACACACUGACAGGCAAAUUUUGUCAAGCCUUUCCAGUCUCUGUGUUCCACUGAAUUCUUUAUGCCAGUAUCCAACUCUUCACAUCCAGUGGGUUCCACUCACAAGCACAAUAAUAAAGUUUGAAAUU